rnacentral:piRNA from 1 species
UAGUUCUAGAUUUCUUUGGCUUCUGUACAC